AGGACGAACGCUGGCGGCGUGCUUAACACAUGCAAGUCGAACGGUAAGGCCCUUCGGGGUACACGAGUGGCGAACGGGUGAGUAACACGUGGGUGAUCUGCCCUGCACUUCGGGAUAAGCUUGGGAAACUGGGUCUAAUACCGGAUAUGACUACGAAUCGCAUGGUUUGUGGUGGAAAGCUUUUGCGGUGUGGGAUGGGCCCGCGGCCUAUCAGCUUGUUGGUGGGGUGAUGGCCUACCAAGGCGACGACGGGUAGCCGGCCUGAGAGGGCGACCGGCCACACUGGGACUGAGACACGGCCCAGACUCCUACGGGAGGCAGCAGUGGGGAAUAUUGCACAAUGGGCGAAAGCCUGAUGCAGCGACGCCGCGUGAGGGAUGACUGCCUUCGGGUUGUAAACCUCUUUCAGCAGGGACGAAGCGAAAGUGACGGUACCUGCAGAGAAGCACCGGCAACUACGCGCCGGCAGCCGCGGUAA
rnacentral:rRNA from 1 species